UACGGAGGGGGCUAGCGUUGUUCGGAAUUACUGGGCGUAAAGCGCACGUAGGCGGAUCGGAAAGUUGGGGGUGAAAUCCCGGGGCUCAACCUCGGAACUGCCUCCAAAACUAUCGGUCUUGAGUUCGAGAGAGGUGAGUGGAAUUCCGAGUGUAGAGGUGAAAUUCGUAGAUAUUCAGAGGAACACCAGUGGCGAAGGCGGCUCACUGGCUCGAUACUGACGCUGAGGUGCGAAAGUGUGGGGAGCAAACAGGAUUAGAUACCCCCGUAGUCCCUGAGCGGG
rnacentral:rRNA from 1 species